AAAAAGUGAGAAGAAUGGCUCAGUAACGAAUAUAGUGCCACGAGCAUUUUGCAAAUCAAAGCCGAAGAGUGGAAGAAAUCAGAGAGCAAAGUUAAGUGUAAGUUCGUGCACAAGGCGGGAAAUGAAGAAAUAGAGCCGAAUAUGCAGCUCCUAUUCAAGAUUGCAGCGAUAUUGAUGUUCAAAUAGUGCCUCCCUCCCUUGAAGCCAUGCUGAAAAAUAGAACAGGAGUGCUGAAGUGCAAAGCUUUAGCAGAAAAUACAGGAUUUGCCAAAAUAACAAUAACAGCUGAUAAGAACAACAUCGCCGAGACAGAAGUAAAGGGCACCUACAAAUAUGUGGAACUUGAUGCCCCAAUAGGCUAUGAAGAAUGGAGCAACGGCACUGAAUUUACCUGCACCGUUGAGCACAACGAGCUAGCAGCUCCCAAGUCGACCAAGUUCGUCAGAGAAAAUGGUAAAAACCCCAAGAAACCCACUGUUUUCGUAUUAGCACCCCCAGAGCACAAGCCGGGUGAACCGAUGACCCUGACAUGUUAUGUGAAGGACUUCUACCCCAAAGAGGUGUUUGUGUCUUGGCUUGCUGAUGAUGAACCUGUGACUUCUAAAUACAGCACUAGCCUGCCAAUUCAGAAAGAUCAAACCUUCUCAGUCUACAGUCAGCUAACAGUUAAUGAUUCCAAGUGGAAGAAUGGUACAGUGUUCAGUUGUGUCGUGUAUCACGAAGGCAUUGAUGAAAAAAUGCGCGUACUGACGAGAUCUAUUAUUGAUAACAUUGAUAAGGCAGGUGUAAUUAAUCUAAGUAUGAAUACCCCUGCAUCUUGCAUGCCCUAAAGCAUUGUGUAUGUGAUGUCUUCCUGUUAUGCCUGUUAAGUGUUUUCUUUUUGUUUUUGAGUUGCAUGUCCAUAUUUGUAAUUGUGUUGGUCUUUAAUGUUUGUUGCUUCUUGCUUCUUUGAGAUACUUUCUUGCAUAUUACAUUUAGGAAAAUACUAAUAAAAAAGAAACAAAGCAUAA